AUACGAAGGGAGCUAGCGUUGUUCGGAAUUACUGGGCGUAAAGCGCACGUAGGUGGAUCAAUCAGUUGAGGGUGAAAUCCCGGGGCUCAACCUCGGAACUGCCUUCAAUACUGUUGAUCUUGAGUCCGUGAGAGGUGAGUGGAAUUCCUAGUGUAGAGGUGAAAUUCGUAGAUAUUAGGAAGAACACCAGUGGCGAAGGCGGCUCACUGGCUCGGUACUGACGCUGAGGUGCGAAAGCGUGGGGAGCAAACAGGAUUAGAAACCCCGGUAGUCC
rnacentral:rRNA from 1 species